rnacentral:sRNA from 1 species
GUUUCUCGUCCGGUGUGGUUCACAAUUUUCUUUCUGUCGCACUGUUCGCACUUCCUCUAUCCGUGUAUGUGUUCGUGUGCGUGCGAGUAAGUGUGGGAAAGUCAGCAGCAACAACAAAUACCCAAGAGAGCAAGAGAGCAGAAAAAUCCGCCGAAAAUUAGCUAUGGAUAAACAGAAUGCAAAAAUGUAUGCAAUUGCCGUCAUAAGUUCGCUCAUUGAGAUUCGCAAUUGAAAUUCACUUCGACAAAAUGAAAAUGAACCCAAUGAGCAUUUAGUCAAGUGAGAGCGAGCGAGAGAGAUGCGCCGCUAAGUUAACCGUUUCAUUUGCAACGUCAUCGUCAUCUGAAGAGUACCGCCGAGGGAAAAGGAAAGAGAGCGCGCGAGCGCAUUACGCCCUUGUUUACACGCCCAUUUCAUAACUCCCCCCAAAGGAAACAUCAUCCAAGGACCUCCUAAGGACGCAUAUCAGACCGCUAUUUGGAUAAUUAAUGCAAAGGAAUCCGAAUUAAGAAAGCCAGCCAUAAAAGAGUCUGCGCAAAGAGAGAGCGCACAGAGAAAAGAGAAGCAGAGAGCAAAGAUAAAAAGAGCGAGCGCCGCUUCGUUGGGCUCCAAAAUCACAUCGUGCAGCUCCCAUUUGGUAAAAUUGCGUCUCGCGACACAACGUGCGUCCAAGUCAGCGGAAAGUUUUUUCGAUUCGCGGCCCGGUCAUUGAAUUUGUAUAUGCGUUUGUGCGUUAAAAAACUCCAGUUUCUGUAGAUAUGUGUCAUUGAGACAAAUCGGCAGCCAUAAGCUAACCCAUAAACCCAAUUUAUCUAGUGCGACCAGUGCUAAAUAUCGAUUUUUUUCGGCUAAUGCGCGUCGAUGACCUCGCACACGGCAACAACAGCAACAAUUGAGAGCUAAAAGCUGCAAGUACACGCAGAGAAACAA